rnacentral:rRNA from 1 species
UACGUAGGGUGCGAGCGUUGUCCGGAAUUAUUGGGCGUAAAGGGCUCGUGGGCGGUCUGUUGCGUCGGGAGUGAAAACUCAGGGCUUAACCCUGAGCCUGCUUCCGAUACGGGCAGACUAGAGGUAUGCAGGGGAGAAUGGAAUUCCUGGUGUAGCGGUGGAAUGCGCAGAUAUCAGGAGGAACACCAAUGGCGAAGGCAGAUCUCUGGGCCGUAACUGACGCUGAGGAGCGAAAGCAUGGGGAGCGAACAGG